rnacentral:tRNA from 1 species
ACCUCGAUAGCUCAGAUGGUAGAGCACCUGCGCGGUGAGCGGAGUGUGGCCGAUUCGAUUCCGGCUCGAGGAG